GGCAGGCUUAACACAUGCAAGUCGAGGGGCAUCGGGAGGAAAGCUUGCUUUCCUUGCCGGCGACCGGCGCACGGGUGAGUAACACGUAUGCAACCUGCCCUCUUCAGGGGGACAACCUUCCGAAAGGGAGGCUAAUCCCGCGUAUAUCGGUUUCGGGCAUCCGAGAUCGAGGAAAGAUUCAUCGGAAGAGGAUGGGCAUGCGGCGCAUUAGCUAGACGGCGGGGUAACGGCCCACCGUGGCGACGAUGCGUAGGGGUUCUGAGAGGAAGGUCCCCCACACUGGUACUGAGACACGGACCAGACUCCUACGGGAGGCAGCAGUGAGGAAUAUUGGUCAAUGGGAGAGAUCCUGAACCAGCCAAGCCGCGUGAGGGAAGACGGCCCUAUGGGUUGUAAACCUCUUUUGUCGGAGAACAAAACCCGGGACGAGUCCCGGACUGCGUGUAUCCGAAGAAAAAGCAUCGGCUAACUCCGUGCCAGCAGCCGCGGUAAUACGGAGGAUGCGAGCGUUAUCCGGAUUUAUUGGGUUUAAAGGGUGCGUAGGCGGUCCGUUAAGUCAGCGGUAAAAUUGCGGGGCUCAACCCCGUCGAGCCGUUGAAACUGGCAGACUUGAGUUGGCGAGAAGUACGCGGAAUGCGCGGUGUAGCGGUGAAAUGCAUAGAUAUCGCGCAGAACUCCGAUUGCGAAGGCAGCGUACCGGCGCCAGACUGACGCUGAGGCACGAAAGCGUGGGGAUCGAACAGGAUUAGAUACCCUGGUAGUCCACGCAGUAAACGAUGAAUGCUGGUUGUCCGGGUCGAAUGAGAUCUGGGCGGCGAAGCGAAAGCGAUAAGCAUUCCACCUGGGGAGUACGCCGGCAACGGUGAAACUCAAAGGAAUUGACGGGGGCCCGCACAAGCGGAGGAACAUGUGGUUUAAUUCGAUGAUACGCGAGGAACCUUACCCGGGCUCAAACGGGAGCGGAAUGGACCAGAGACGGUUCAGCCUACGGGCCGCUUCCGAGGUGCUGCAUGGUUGUCGUCAGCUCGUGCCGUGAGGUGUCGGCUUAAGUGCCAUAACGAGCGCAACCCCCGCCGGCAGUUGCUAACGGGCAAUGCCGAGGACUCUGCCGGGACUGCCGCCGCAAGGCGUGAGGAAGGCGGGGAUGACGUCAAAUCAGCACGGCCCUUACGUCCGGGGCGACACACGUGUUACAAUGGGCGGUACAGCGGGAAGCCAGGCGGCGACGCCGAGCGGAACCCGAAAGCCGUUCUCAGUUCGGAUCGGAGUCUGCAACCCGACUCCGUGAAGCUGGAUUCGCUAGUAAUCGCGCAUCAGCCAUGGCGCGGUGAAUACGUUCCCGGGCCUUGUACACACCGCCCGUCAAGCCAUGGGAGCCGGGGGUGCUUGAAGU
rnacentral:rRNA from 1 species